rnacentral:lncRNA from 1 species
CAGAGAUCCACCCUGCUCCCAGACUUCCCAGGCUUUCUCUUUUUUGCUGUUGGUAAUGUUUACUUUUGCCUCUUUCUAGUGGUGUGUGUGUGUGUACCGAGCCACAUAGCCUGAAGAGUUAAAGCUAUUCACAGAGGCCAAGAGUGCGGAUGCUGAUCUGGACUGCGCUGCUCCCACCUGAUGCUCCCGUGUGAGAGGGCAGCCCUGCUGCUGGGCCACUGAGCAGAGUGAUGCCAGCUCAGUUGCUAGCACAAAGCUGGCAAACCCCAAAUGCCAGCCUCUUCUCCUCCACACUGCUGAUCCCCUUCCCAGAGCACGGAUGAUGCACUGUGAGUACAACGCAACCUUGAGAG